rnacentral:miRNA from 1 species
UUGUGUCUAUUGCUAAGCUAUGU